AACUAUAGCAGCCUUCUGCCUGACUGAGCCGGCCAGCGGCUCCGAUGCCGCUUCCAUCAAGACCACGGCUGUUCUCUCACCAUGCGGGAAACACUUCAUUAUGAAUGGAAGCAAGAUCUGGAUCAGCAACGGAGGUUUGGCUGAGAUCUUCACGGUGUUUGCAAAGACACCUGUGAAGGACCCGAAGACUGGGGAGAUGAAAGACAAGAUCAGCGCUUUCAUCGUGGAGAGGAGCUUUGGAGGAGUGACAAAUGGCCCUCCAGAGAAAAAGAUGG